AAAUUCCGUAUCGUUCUAUUUUAGAGCUGGUAUGUUUCGGUUCCAACAAAUAAUUUUCUAAAUUAAUUUCGCAUAAAAAGUGCCAACCAAUGCCAGCAACACACACAGGCGCCAUAGUAUGUAGGCGGUGGAGAGGUUCACAAAUGUCACAUUCUUAAUCGCAACAGCAACAGCACUGUCUGAGGGUCAAAGUUCAGAGACACGUACAUUUUUGUUGAGUGGAUGGGUCGGACGGAGCCGAAGAGCAAUAAUGGCUGUCGUCUGGCAGAAAGGCUUUGCCCCCAACCAAAGCACUUAGUACAGAAGUGGAAUACAGUCGUCGUCUUCUAUGUCUAGAGUUACUGAUCCCGUUGGCAAAAAGGACAUUGAACUGCACCUGCAUUGGGCUUCCCUGCCACACAUAUAAAUAAUCCCGACAACGGGAAAACAAAUAAACAAACAAAAAGCAGUCGGAGAUGCUUUCAACUUCACCGCCUGCGUCGAUGAUGAUGAUUACGGUGGAGCAGGUGCAAAACUACACAUGAAAGGCAGGUGCACAAAUUUUAGUAAAGUAUACGGCCAACGAGAAGGAGAGCCACUAACUGGUCUUACAACAGACAGCGGACUUUGUUCUCAUUUUCAUACUUUUGGGGUAGACGUUUACGUUUAAAUACAUCGGUUUUUAAGAGUU
ensembl:ncRNA lncRNA:CR43988 long non-coding RNA:CR43988